AGUUUGUUCCACCAUUGGGGGGCCAGAGCAGCGAACAGUUUUGACUGGGCUGAGCGGGAACUGUACUUCCUCAGUGGUAGGGAGGCGAGCAGGCCAGAGGUGGAUGAACGCAGUGCCCUUGUUUGGGUGUAGGGCCUGAUCAGAGCCUGGAGGUACUGAGGUGCCGUUCCCCUCACAGCUCCGUAGGCAAGCACCAUGGUCUUGUAGCGGAUGCGAGCUUCAACUGGAAGCCAGUGGAGAGAGCGGAGGAGCGGGGUGACGUGAGAGAACUUGGGAAGGUUGAACACCAGAUUUCAUAUAGAAUCAUGUUUAUCAAACUAAUACAUUUCAUAUCUGGAUUGAAUGAACUAUCUGGAGCUUUUCCAAUGUCAUUGUUAUGAUAUUUAACUUGAGUUUAACCAAUAAUGUUACAUUUCUUUUUUUGCGCCAAUGACCGGGGAGGGUGAUGGUGAUGGUAAAUGUGGUUUUUAAGCUCUUGCCGAUAAAACUAUUGUUCGAUUGAUGAACUCCCCCCCAUUCGGAGAUAUUUCUUUGUCUUAGACGGAACGUCAAAUGUGGAGGAAGAAUCCAGGUAGAAAAAUCAUGUAUAUUUGACAUUUUAUUUUAUGAAAUAAAAAUGAUUUAUUUGUGUCUAUUUGUAUUAUUUUCUUUGAAUUGAAAUGUCACAGACUACAUUCUGUAGUUAUACUGUAAUGAAACAAUGAAAAACAACACACAAGCAAUAAUGCAGUGUGCUGCUUCUAUAUAAAGGUGUAUAUGAAUAAGAUUCAUAUUUAACGGAAUAUGACUAUCUAAUAACCACAACCAAUGUAUAAUAUACUGUAUCUUGUUUAUUUGUCAGUGAGGAAUUUGCCUUUGACAGUGUGGCCGGUGGGGAGGAGUCCCAGGAUGUUGGUGAUGAGAUUGAUACAAACCAUGACAUGGUGGAUGCCACGUACCAAGAAAUUGGUAAACAGUUGUUGAAACACGGAAAAUUAAACACGUUAUAGCACGUAUUCGAGAUGCAGCAAAUCAAGGCCCAUAUACAGAAGUUGUGUAUGUCAAGUCAUGCAAGAAGAAAAGACGUCAUCAAUACAUGCCUUAAUCGUCAUUAGAUCGGCAUUAGUUCAAAGCAGUAGUGCAUGUGUACUUCAUGGUUUACAGUAUCUAUAAAUGUGUAUUUUAUGUAUUGUGUAUUCAAUGUGUUGGACUACUCCCUGCAUGUUCAAGUUGACGAUGAUGCCAAAUUGUUUUGUGACCUGACAUUUGCGGUGCAUUGUAUUACAUCUUCAG